rnacentral:rRNA from 1 species
GACGAACUGUCCUAACGUUGUUCGGAAUCACUGGGCUUAAAGGGCGCGUAGGCGGGCCAUCAAGUCCGGGGUGAAAUCCUUCGGCUUAACCGGAGAAUUGCCUUGGAUACUGGUGGUCUUGAGGGAAGUAGGGGUCUGCGGAACUUCCGGUGGAGCGGUGAAAUGUGUUGAUAUCGGAAGGAACGCCGGUGGCGAAAGCGGCGGACUGGGCUUCUUCUGACGCUGAGGCGCGAAAGCUAGGGGAGCAAACGGG